rnacentral:tRNA from 1 species
UCCCCGAUAGUCUAGUGGUGAGGAUAUCUGCUUGUCAUUGAAGAAUCAACGAUUCGCAGAGGACCGGGGUUCAAUUCCCCGUCGAAGAG